rnacentral:tRNA from 1 species
GCCUUCGUGGUGUAACGGUAGCACACUCGGCGGGGAUUCGAGAGGUCCAGGUUCGAACCCCGGCGAGGGCG